rnacentral:rRNA from 1 species
AUUGAACGCUGGCGGCAGGCCUAACACAUGCAAGUCGAGCGGAUGACGGGAGCUUGCUCCUUGAUUCAGCGGCGGACGGGUGAGUAAUGCCUAGGAAUCUGCCUGGUAGUGGGGGACAACGUUUCGAAAGGAACGCUAAUACCGCAUACGUCCUACGGGAGAAAGCAGGGGACCUUCGGGCCUUGCGCUAUCAGAUGAGCCUAGGUCGGAUUAGCUAGUAGGUGAGGUAAUGGCUCACCUAGGCGACGAUCCGUAACUGGUCUGAGAGGAUGAUCAGUCACACUGGAACUGAGACACGGUCCAGACUCCUACGGGAGGCAGCAGUGGGGAAUAUUGGACAAUGGGCGAAAGCCUGAUCCAGCCAUGCCGCGUGUGUGAAGAAGGUCUUCGGAUUGUAAAGCACUUUAAGUUGGGAGGAAGGGUUGUACGUUAAUACCGUGCAAUUUUGACGUUACCGACAGAAUAAGCACCGGCUAACUCUGUGCCAGCCGCCGCCGUAAUAC